CUACGGGGCGCAGCAGUGGGGAAUAUUGCACAAUGGGCGCAAGCCUGAUGCAGCCAUGCCGCGUGUAUGAAGAAGGCCUUCGGGUUGUAAAGUACUUUCAGCGGGGAGGAAGGGAGUAAAGUUAAUACCUUUGCUCAUUGACGUUACCCGCAGAAGAAGCACCGGCUAACUCCGUGCCAGCAGCCGCGGUAAUACGGAGGGUGCAAGCGUUAAUCGGAAUUACUGGGCGUAAAGCGCACGCAGGCGGUUUGUUAAGUCAGAUGUGAAAUCCCCGGGCUCAACCUGGGAACUGCAUCUGUACUGGCAAGCUUGAGUCUCGUAGAGGGGGGUAGAAUUCCAGGUGUAGCGGUGAAAUGCGUAGAGAUCUGGAGGAAUACCGGUGGCGAAGGCGGCCCCCUGGACGAAGACUGACGCUCAGGUGCGAAAGCGUGGGGAGCGAACAGGAUUAGAUACCCGCGUAGUC
rnacentral:rRNA from 1 species